rnacentral:lncRNA from 1 species
UACCUGUCGUUUAUAAUAGUUGGCUGAUUACUGGAUAAUUCGUUUUGUGGAUAUUGUUCAUUUGAAACAACUUUCAAAAACCUUGAUUGCAGACAUAAUAGAUUUUAUAUCAUACAAGGAAUGUUAUAAGAACAUAAACUGCUCAAAUGUUCUCAAUUGACGUUAAAAAUAUCUAACAAUAAAUGAAAUAUACAUGUUUUGUCAAACCA